UCAGGCGCGACCCCGGCCCACGGAACCUCCCCGUCAAGCGUCCUGCCGGGGUCUUGGCGCCGCGUUAGAAACCCAUUCUUUCGUAGCUCUCAUUGUGGCGUUCGUGUGCAGCCUUGUUCAUUGUGGCCAUUUGCUAAAUUUUCGUGCCCAGAGCGAGUCGCUGCGUGUGAAGAGCCAGUGGCAUCGAUGUUUCCACAGCGAGUCACUGAUCAGCGCGCUGCUGUUGGCAGGUUUAGUUGAGGUUAGGGUGGUCUGUCGAGGAGCUCCCGCCCCCUGCGACUUGUCCACCGGUCUGCGGGGGAGUUGAGCCUGGUUGUAAACCUCCACACGGUGCGGUUCUCAGAGUAAUGGCUGUCUACAAGAAGACGCUGCAGACCAUCGCAGUCAUUUGAUCAGAGCGGAGGGCAGCCAAAGGCCUCAGUAUCUUGAGGAUCACAACACAAAAAGGCACAGUUUGACUGUUCCCUAUGAGCCGCCCCAGCCGGGCUCAGAGAUCACCACAAUCCUGUUCAACUUCAUGUGCAACAGCUCCUGCAUGGGAGGCAUGAACCGCAGACCCAUCCUCACCACAUCCUGACCCUUGAGACUUCAGACGGACAACUUUUGGGCCGAAGAUGCUUCGAGGUGCGUGUCUGCGCGUGUCCCGGCAGGGAUCGUAAAACAGAGGAGGCAAAUAGUGCCAAACUUCAGACAGGGGCCAAACAAGUGAAGAAAAGAAAAAGUGCCCCAGCAACAGAUCCUGAUAUGUGCAAAAGGAAGUCUGGCUCAAGCACAGACGAGGAGGAAGUACUUAUGUUGCCAGUUAAAGGCCGUGAGCGCUAUAACAUGUUAAAAAAGAUAAAUGAUGCAUUAGAACUGGCUGAAAAAGAGGCUAAAAACAAAACCAGGGCUUCUAAGGAACUGCUGCCGUCCAGUGGAAAGCGCGUCUUGCAAAAAGCAGAACGAAGCGACAGCGACUAGUUGCAAUCUGCCUUCUUUUAACCGAACAUCUACGAUCAUGACUAUGAAUCAUUGUUUACCUCCCUUUGAUGUUUCUACAUUAAUUCCUGCCAUCAGUCUGAGGGCAUACGUUGAGCAGUAACGUAUUAACGAUUCAGUGGGGCUUUACUAUUUUUAACUAC